CGCAGCCGUUGACGGAGCCCUGUCACGUGGGAGACUCUCCACGCAUGCGCGGAACACUGAGUGGACGGCACUGUGAGCUGUAAACUGCUCGUGCAGCAGGGCUGCGGGGAAGGCAGGGCCUGGCCACCGGCUGUUCCUGACUCAGAGCUGGAGAGCGCAGCAGCUCUGCACCUGUUCACCUGAUGGUGAAGGCAGGAAAAGCCAUUACCGAGUGACAGGAGACAAAAAACCAAACUCCACUUCAGCAACUCAUCCCACGGCUGGUGAUUAAUCUCACACUCCCACAGCCUGAUGCGCAUUAACCAGCUAAUCUUCAUUUGUUAAAUGGGACCCACUAAGAGACACCUCUGAGCGGGCCUGUGAGGAUAAUUCCUAGAUGACCUGAAAGUGUGGGAGACAUGCCUUCCCGUGGCCGCACAGGUAUAAAGGGGUCUAAAGGACAGCCUCCCUCGUCAUAGGACACCCACUCUGUCACUGCCAUCCUUGCCUGACACCAGACCCCAGCUUCAGCCUUCCAGUGUGGACUGAAGACCAGAAGCUCUCCGGAAUCCUUAGGCCUACUGUAGCAGACUGGGGCUGCUAAGCUAAGAAAGAAAAUCAAAACUGGUGCAGGACAAGAAAAGCAAAGCUAGCAAUCUGGGUCCACAGGGAAACCUGCGUGCGGAUUGGAUAGCAACCCUGGUCAUAACUGUCCAAACUCAGGAGCAGCCAAGGCAUCCUUCAGUGGGCAACUGGAUAGAUGCAUCCUGUGGAUAAACGGAUAAAUGGAAAAAACACACUAUGGAAUAUCUAUAAAGUGGACUGCUAUUUGGUGCUUACAAAGAUAUAAGCCACCAAACCAUGAAAAGGGCAUAAAGGAAGCUUAAAUGCAUGCUUCUAAGAAGCCAGUCUGAAAUUACUACCUACUAUAUAGUCAGGACAGCAUGGUGUUUUAGAAAGACUAAAUUAUGAAGAUAAUAAAAAAUAAAAAUAAAAUAAUAACAGAAGACAGAAGGGGAAGAGGGGGGUUUUAGGGUUUUAGGGCUCGGAAAUAAUUUUACAUAAAACUUCACUGGUUAGCAUGAAAUUGUUAUGAUGAUGGGUAAUUAUCAUCUUAUGUUUGCCCGAUAUCAUGGCCUGUGUGGACGGACCUAGCUGUAGGUCAUGGAUCUGAGUCACGGAGACGUAUCAGUGCUGGCCAACCCGUGGAAACAGACCCACCACACUAGUGGUCGAUGCUGACAGAAGGAGCGGCCAAACCUGUGCAGAGGGAAGUGAGCAGAGGGGAAAUCUCAAACUACUCCAAAACGCAGAGUGAAGGGAAGAGACAAACUAUGGUCUGGAAGUUCAGAAUGAGUCUGAGCACCUUACCGGCCAGUGUGAGUCCUAUCCAGGAUGGACUGGGUUCUCUGGGAAAGCAGAGUGGGGAGAAAGGUGGGUGUAAGGCGGUUGGAUGAAGGAACACUGUCGAAAACAAUUUCUCAGCAUCCUACGGCCAUUCAGAUGUGUCAAGAGCCAGACUUAGUGAAAGGCCUACACAUCAGUGAGACUUCUCGCAGACUAUGACUGACAUUUGCAAACUGUGGACAGACAUACCACCACUCAAGUCGGCCUUUUCCGUGUCUGUUUCUCCACAAAUUUAUUUGCAAGCUAACCAAUGUUAUACUCUUUCAAUAUAUGCAUUAUGUAUCUUUCAAUAUAUGCAUUAUAUAUCUUUCUAUACUAAUGGCUUCAUAACAAUUAUUCAGUUAUAACUAUGGGUACAGUAUUAUAUAUACAUAUAUAUGUGUGUAUGUGUGUGUGUGUGUAUAAAAUGAUGCACACAAUAUGGAUUUUUAUACAGACAUUUUUAUGUGCUUUUUCCAG
ensembl:lncRNA LOC120096194 uncharacterized LOC120096194